rnacentral:snRNA from 1 species
AUGCUCAUUUUGGCAGCCCAUAAACUAAAAUUGGAAUGAUAUAGAGAAGAUUAGCAUGGCCUCUGCACAAGUAUAACAUGGAAAUUUGUAAAGUGUUCCAUCUUUUU